CAGGACCCAUCCGUCAGGCCAUCCCCAACCUCCCGCGCCUCCCGCUCGGAUAAGCCACAACGCCGUGCCCGCCCGCAACCGUCGGCGAAGUCUCGCGGAUAAGCCGUAUCCGUCGCUCCCCGCACCGCUGCCCUUGCCUAUAAAAGCCCAGUGACCCCCUCUCUUGACCCCGCCGUCCCGCUAACCCUCUCGCCGCUUCUAGCCGCCGCCGUCGUCGUGUGCAUCUCGUCGGAGCCGAGCCGCUCCGCUGUCAAAUUCGUCGCUGAUCGUCGGAGCCGCCGCACGGAUGACACUGCGUCCCGCCGGAGCACCGGAGCUCCGCCGCGAGCCCUUGCUCGACCCUGGCCACCCCAACGCAUGCCGCCACCACCGUUGGGACGCCCGUGUCGCACUCUUCUUCCCCAUCUACUUCCCCGGCGCCGAGGACCGCCGCAACCGCCGCCCCGCCGAUGCUGAGCCUCCUGCCGCCGCCUUUGCCCCGUUAUUGUCCGGAGUGCGAAGAAAAUUACUAUCGUUCUCUAGAGUUGAAUCACCAGUACCAAGGCAAGUUCAUAUUUGACCAUUCUUUCAAUUACCUAUGUUUUAUGUAUGCAUUUAUUCCUUUGUGGUAGGAUUGCAUGGUAGGAAUUUUAUGUCGGGUGGCUAUGCUCUUACCUAGCAGUUCAUUUGAGGUAGCGUUGAAGUAUACAACCUUUGUAACCAUCGUGUAAGUUUAUUUUUGCCUCGCUAAUGUAGACGUGGAUUGGGAAGUGUUCAUGGUGAGACAUGAGUGACAAAGUAGUAAUCAGGACCAGGACUUUUAAA